rnacentral:lncRNA from 1 species
CUCCAGAUACCCGGGCUCCCAAGGGUUGAGGAAAACCCCACCGCCCUGAAGAGGAGUCACGUGGAGCACACGGGGCCCUGGGCUCUGAGGCAUACAGACAGGCUCUGAACAAGGAAAGCCCCCAGGACUCAGGGCAGACACCCACCACCCUGCCUCUUGGCCUCCUCACUCUGUGCUUUUUCCCAGCCCACAUUCCUAAUGCAAACCAGAUGCCACCGCACCCCCACCCCCACCUCGCCCUUCUCCUUCCACUCCUGGAGUCUGCGCAUGGGCUCGACUCCACCUUGGAAACGCCAGGCCUUCUCUCCAUCAGCCUUGGCCUCUUCUAGCAACAGCUCACUGCCUGGGCACUGCCUCCCAGAGGCUUUCUGAACUUCUUUGUGAUACCUAGCACACCAUUUCUCAGACCUACUCAGUACUAGAGCUCUUUGGACUCUCAUAUGGAAAGCUCAGGCUCCCUUCAUCUCGUGUCCCCUCUCGGUGCCUCUUUCCUGUGUUGCACGACCAGUGAGAAGACCGUCAGGCAUGGACACAAGGGGCCUGAGCAUCAAAGGCAAGGGUAUCCCCCAUGGGGUGCACAUGCCAGAAGGGUCAAGCAAGAUGCACUGGGUUGGGAAGAAAAUAGUAAAUUUCUAUUGAUUUUAAAAACAACACCGUAAGGCAGGAGUUUUAGUUAAUAAUCCUGUAUCAAAAUUGGUUCACUAAUAGUGACAGAUGUAUCAUGGUAAUGUACCAUAUUAAUAAUAAAAAUGGGGCCUGGGGAAUAUGAGACCUGCUGUACUAUU